rnacentral:rRNA from 1 species
UGGAGUAAGGAGCCUGAGAAAUGGCUACCACAUCCAAGGAAGGCAGUAGGCCGCGUAAAUUACCCAAUCCUGAUACAGGGAGGUAGUGACAGUAAAUAACAAUGCCGGGCCAUCAUUGGUCUGGCAAUUGGAACUGAGAACAAUUUAAAUUCCUUAUCGAGGAUCAAUUGUAGGGCAAGUCUGGUGCCAGCAGCCGCGGGAAUUCCAGUUCCAAUA